AAACAAUAUCAAAUUCAUGAAAAUCAUCAAAUUGAUAUGACAAUGGUCGAAAAUGUUAGCGAUGAGUUUCUAUUUGGCCCGCAUGAUGUUUCAACUGAACAUGACGUUGACGGAUCAGAAGAACUGGAUAUGAUGUUUUCGGAACCUGUUAAACAAACUCAA